ACGGUAUUAUCACUCGCCAGAUAUAUCUAGUGUAAAGAUUCAUGAGAGGUUGGUGCGUUUCCAAAUUUUAGGUCAAGUGAGGUUUCCACUGUUUUCUCAGCGUACGAAACAAAAAUCCAUUCUCUCUCUCUCUCCUUCCGGAAGAUAUCUCUACUUGUCAUUCUUUAGUGGUUUGAAUUCAAGAUGUACAAUGGAAUAGGAUUACAGACGCCAAGAGGUUCAGGAACAAAUGGAUAUGUCCAAACUAAUAAGUUUUUGAUUCGGGGGAAGACGUCGAAAGUGGUAGUGGAUGGUAACAAAGGGUUUGGCCCUGAUCAGGGUAUGGGUGGUAUCAGCAAGAAGGCGAAUAAGGAAAUAUUGGAGCAUGAUCGUAAGCGUCAAAUCGAGCUCAAGCUUGUGAUCUUGGAGGACAAGCUUAGUGAACAAGGUUACACAGAUGCUGAGAUUGCUGAGAAGUGUGAGGAGCUGAGGCGUAAGCUUGAAGCUGAGGCGGCUGCUGAUGAUGAUGCUGGUGCUGUGGCGAAUUCCGAUAAGAAGGUCUCAGAUACAGAAACUCAUCAAAUUGCAGCUAGGAAAGAAAAGCAAAUGGAAAAACUCAGAGCUGCACUUGGCAUUACUGCACCCGAUGUUGAAGCAACCAAGCAGGGACAAAUAAGUGAUUUAGAUAUUGGCAAUGAUGACGAUAAACUGAAAAUCAUUAGAAAGGAUGACUCUGAUAAUGAUAGCAGCGAAAGAGAAGAAGGUGAAAUUUUGCACGGUGACGAGGAAGUGAAAAUUGAGAAACAUCAUCAAGCUGAAGGCAGAUUGCCGAACCAAGGGGGGAAGACAAAAAAGGAAGAAAAAAGGAGAAGUCGUGACAGUAUGACUUCUGAUUCAGAAAGGACUGAGGAUAGUAGUGCUUCAGAUUCUGAUGGAGAAUCAAAGAGAAAAAAGAGGUCCACCAGGAUGUCCAAGAAAAACAUCUCUGUUGAAAGUCAUGAUCCUGAUUCAGAUAGCGAUAAUUCUGACAAAGAGUGUCAAAAGAAUGCUGGAAAGUACUCCAGAGGGCCGAAAAGACAUGAUUCCAGCAGUGAUUCCGACCAUAGCAGUAGAUCUCCUGGUCAUAGAACCAAGAAAUCCAACCAGAGUGUCAUUUCUGACAGAAAGAUGCCAUCAAUUGGAAGCAACAGAAGUAAGAGAAAUGAGUUAGAAAAGGAUGACUAUGGGAGAAGAUAUAUGGAUAAGUACUAUAAGGGUUCUGAUAUUUCUGCUCAAGGUACAAAUUCUGCGAAGCUUGAACCGGAGAGAAGUCAAAGAAGUAGGAGGCGUGAUACCAAUGAUGAUGUUGUUGAUUCAGAUAAUGAAGAUAAAAAGGAGAAGAGUCACAGAAGAGGGAGGCAUGAUUCUGAAGAUGAGGAUUCUGAUGUUGAAACAAAAUCGAAGGAACGUGCAAAGGAUAAAGAGAAGCAACUAAGGUAUCUAAAGUCCAAAACAGAUUAUAAGGUGAGAGGAAGUGAUAGGGAGCUUAUUAGUCAUGGAGAAAGAAAUGUACAUGAUGAUGACAACAGGUGGGCACCUAAUACACUGGAAGAUGAACAAAUUUAUAAAAAGUAUGAGAAGCUGGAGGCAGAAGAUGGAACUAGAAAGCGUGAAAGGAGAUCAGAAGGUGAGCAUGGUAGUAGGAGACAUGAGAGUAAGGAGGAAGGUCUGCAAGGAGGCAGAAAGCUGGAAAGCAAGGAGGAUAUUGACCAAGAAAGGAGGAAGUGGGAAAAGAAGGUAGAAGAUGGCUCUGAAAGGAGAAAGAAGGGUAUUGAUGAAGAUGACAAUGAUCGGAGAAAGUUAGAGAGGGAGGAAAAAGAUAUGCACGAAAGAAGAGGACAAGAAAGAAGGGAGGAGGAUGAGCUACGGAAAAGAAAGCUGGAAAGUUCUAAGAAUGAUGAGGAGCGAAACAGAAAGUUAGAACAGAGGGAUGAGGACGACUACAGAAGCAAAAAGCGUGUAAGAAGGGACGAGAAUGAGCGGGGAGGAAGAAAGGGGGGAAGUAGGGAAGAAGACGAGAAGCAAGGAAGGAGUAGGGAGAGGAGGGACGAAGAUGAGCUUGUUUACAGAAAGCAGGGUGGUAGUAAGCGGGAGGGGCAGGAAGACGAUGAUCUUGGAGGUAAAUCCCGGGAAAGAAGAGAGCAAGAGCAGAGACUUAGAAAUGAUAGAAAGGAGCACGAUAGGCAUGGAAACAAAAAUAAAGAGACACUGGAGGAGGAAGGUCGCAGAAGGAGAAGACAUGAAAGGGAAGAAGAUUCUCCGCAGAAACAUGAGACACACCGACGUGAUGAUGUUCGCAGGAGACAUUGAUAAUUUGAUACUACGGGAGCUGGUAAGCAAUGUUUUUGGUGCUUUUGUUAACCAGUAUUCAGUGAGAGACCAUGGAAACACAGUCCCUAAUAAGGUUUACCCGUCUUCAGCAAAUCUAAGAAAGCUCCAACUGGCCAUAUAUGGGAUCGGCGGCAGUUUGACAUGCUGACAACCUUAUACGUCUUCGCAAUGCCUCUCAGAUGGUGUAUGAACAUGAGUAUAGUUAUGUUGCGCUUUUCUCUGUCGCAUUUUUCUUCGUGGUUGUAUACAUCCUUCCAGGCUAUAUGCAAGUGUUGCCUGCUUUUCAAAUGUAUUGUGACUUCUGGUUGUCUAUGCUGAGACACAAAUGUACUGGUUUAUCCUUGAAGGCUACGGCUAUGCACUUGAACCAGAGUAUUUGUACUCAGUUCACUUGUAUCAUGACUCGUGACUUCGUGAGUAAAAUUUUGUUUAUGGGGCUGGAAAUGCUGAUACUAUCAAAUAUAUAUUCGGUAGGCGAGAGACGAAUGGAAUUGAAAAUGGUUCUGGUGAUUAAUUAA